rnacentral:lncRNA from 1 species
GAAGAGGCUAACCCAUUGUGAAUCAAAUCACUUAUUGCAGGGACUCAAUCUAAUUUCAGCUUGGACUCAACUGUUCUUGGACUCAAAUUCUUUUCACCUCUCACCCAAUGUCCCACGCCAUUAGAAUGAGGGUGGUGCUCCUGCAUCAACUCUCCCCGGCUGGAAAAAGACUCGACUCUGUCGAGUUCUGUGACUGAUAGAGCUCGUAGA